CGGGGCGUAGCGCAGUUCGGCAGCGCGCCGCGUUCGGGACGCGGAGGUCCCCGGUUCAAAUCCGGGCGCCCCGA
rnacentral:tRNA from 1 species